AAGCUUCAAAAUUCAUUGCUGCCCAGGGCUCUGGUAGAAAAUUUAAUUAACAAUAAAGAUGAUAAUAGUGACUUUUAAUGUUUCAGUGUAUUUUAUUUUUUAUCUAGUAGUUUUUCAAAAUAUGUCAAUACCUUUAAUCCAUGCCAUCUAUUGCUUCAGCUGUAUUCUAAACAAUCUCCCUUUUUGUGUGGAAUUAUAUUCUAGCAAAGUUAGCAACCACAUACAAGUGAAUCAAAACUGGAAUGAGAGCUCACUGUUGCUAGAGAGAUUGAAGGAGAGCUUCUGGUCUCAGAGAAGUCAGUGAAGGGCUUGUGCACAGUAUUUGAGCUAGGACCUUAGUUAACUGAAGGGGUCAGCUAUGCAGAGAGCAAAGAACAUUUGAGGCACAGGAAACAGUAGAUACAAAUGUCUUAAGGGUGGACCCCUUUGGUUAUGCUCCAAGGAACAGCAAACAACUGGAAUAGAAAUGUGGUCUUUCCUUCUAGCCCCCAAGAUAAAAAAAAAAAAAAAAAACACCUCUAUUUUAGUAUAUAUAACAUGAAUCAGGCUAUGGCAAUUUAGAAAUAGCUAGUCUCAGACGUGUGACAAUGAGGGAGAAUUAAGUCACCCCAAGGUUGAGGAAAGAAAUUAGCACUAAUCACAGUUGACAUUCUGUCACACCCCUAUUAAUUGCUCCCUAGCUCCUGCUACACACACGUCUACCUGUUGCCACCGUUGUCUUUAUGCUUGGGUAAUCAGAGGGGAGAGUUUCAAGUGUUUGACAGCUUCAUUUGUGUCUAAAGUCAAUCGAGGGGGCAUCCAGUUCCUUCCCUUCUCCAUGUAUCAGUUGCUAUCUUGAGAGUACUAACUUCUGUAAUCACCCUGGUGCCUUGCCAAGUAACCUGGAGAAGAACAUCCCUGUGACCCCACAAUAAGGGUCAAAUGCUAUUAUCUUUAUUUAAAUGGUGGUAAUCCCUCUCCACUUGCCAGUCCUAGCAGUGUCUGGUUUAGGGGACUUCUCACUUGCACAUUCAUUCCAUCUCUGCAACAGAACUUAGUACAACUAUCUAUGCACUGAGCUAAGCGGGUGAGAGAGUCAAUAACCCACCGCCAGUUAAAGAGUUUGGCUCAGCCAGGACAUUUGAGAUCUUAAAAACUGACAGGUACAUUCAUUGGCACAAAAGGACAUGCUUUUACUUCUUCCCAGAGUGAAGUUAAUAUACUUGAAAUGGAGUCAUGGGAAUAAACAGAGGAACCAACUCAGAAGAAUCCUACAUGUUACACAUGGAACUAUGGGAACUAACUCUAUGGUCUUCAGUCUACAGUGACCAAAGAACUCAUAGUUCAUGUCAUUAAAGAGCAGGAAAACUUGAGAUCAUCCUGGCUGCAGAAAUCUCUUAGAGCUGUAACCAAGAAGAGCUUGGAAAGAAUGGAAGUUCAGUUCCCACCACCCCUAUCUAGUGGCUCACCUCAGGGGAUCUGGCACCCCCUUCUAGCCUCUAAGGACACCUGUACUCAUGUGCAUAUAUCUAUAAUAAGCAUACACACACACACACACACACACACACACACACACACCAAAUAAAUCCUUUAAAAAUAGAACCUCUUUUUUUGAGGGUCCUUAUUAUAAAGCAGAAUGUGCCAUGGCCAAAUCUCUAUAUUAUACUUAGAAAAGAAGUUACAUGGCUCACCUUGUACUGUGCUAGGGAACAGUAAAUCUAUUCAGCCUUAACAUCCACCCUCCUAGGCAGAAUGUUCCUACUUCAAAAGAGAGGAGACGGAAAUUAAAAGUACCAACUGGUUUGCCCAAGGUCACUUAAGGAGUAAAGCAUCCCGCUGGCGCUUGAACAUAGGUCCUUUGGAUGCUGAACCUGCCACUGCCUCAACCCACGAGGGAUGCCCUUUUAAAAACCGAAGUUCAGAAACAAAGUAUUGAGACAUCCUGAAGCUGCCCUUGGCGUGCCUGUUAAAAUGUGCAUCUUCUCAAGCUAUUCAUGGGCCCCUUUUGCUCCACGCCCUGAGUAGCUUUUGUGUGGGUGUUUCUCUGACAUAGCCUCCUUCUCAUACGUAUGCCAGGCACGGCGACAGAUGCUUCUUUGGGGAGGCUUGCCCAUUACAAGGCAUUGUGUGAUUUUUAAAAAGGUGCCUUAGGUGAUAUG
rnacentral:lncRNA from 1 species